rnacentral:ncRNA from 1 species
ACAGAAAAAUGCCAAGCCCAUCGUGAAGUGGGUACGGAAAGCCGCGAGCCCCUUUUUUCAAGGGAUAGUCGGGUUGCCUGU